rnacentral:rRNA from 1 species
AGUGAACGCUGGCGGUAGGCCUAACACAUGCAAGUCGAACGGCAGCACAGGAGAGCUUGCUCUCUGGGUGGCGAGUGGCGGACGGGUGAGGAAUACAUCGGAAUCUACUCUGUCGUGGGGGAUAACGUAGGGAAACUUACGCUAAUACCGCAUACGACCUACGGGUGAAAGCAGGGGACCUUCGGGCCUUGCGCGAUGGAAUGAGCCGAUGUCGGAUUAGCUAUGUGGCGGGGUAAAGGCCCAACAAGGAGACGACACGUAGCUGGUCUGAGAGGAUUAUCAGCCACAGUGGAACUGAGACACGGGCCAGACUGCUACGGGAGGGCGCAGGGGGGAAUAUUGUACAAUGGGCGCAAGCCUGAUCCAGCCAUACCGCGUGGGUGAAGAAGGCCUUCGGGUUGUAAAGCCCUUUUGUUGGGAAAGAAAUCCAGCUGGCUAAUACCCGGUUGGGAUGACGGUACCCAAAGAAUAAGCACCGGCUAACUUCGUGCCAGCCGCCGCCGUAA